UACAGAGGUCCCAAGCGUUGUUCGGAUUCACUGGGCGUAAAGGGUGCGUAGGUGGCCAGGUAAGUCUGAUGUGAAAUCUCGGAGCUCAACUCCGAAACUGCAUUGGAUACUAUCUGGCUGGAGGGUCGGAGGGGGGACUGGAAUUCUCGGUGUAGCAGUGAAAUGCGUAGAUAUCGGGAGGAACACCUGUGGCGAAAGCGGCUCACUGGACCAUAACUGACGCUGAUGCACGAAAGCUGGGGGAGCAAACAGA
rnacentral:rRNA from 1 species